UUCUAGAUUGAGGUUCCUGGGUGGAGGUCAGGGUGCCCCUGGUAAGGCUUGGCGAGGGAGGCACCGGCUCACACUGCGGUGUGGCUGCGCUCCGAGAAGAUGCGCAGCGUGAAGUCCGCUUCAUCGCCCACGCGCGAGGCGCUGGGCACCACCAGGUAGUGGCCGGGAGGCAGGCGGCAGCGUCGGCUCACGUCGCGGCGGGCGCAGAAAACCGAGCGGUCGGCGCGCAGCAGUCCCGACCCUCUGCUUGACCUUGGCCUCACCUGAAACACGUGGAAGCCCACAGUGAGGGCCCGGACCACUCCACGCGGCCCCAGGGGUUCCUCAGCCGCAGCAGCCGCACCUUGGUGAAGCCCAGAGACAUCUGAAAACAAUGUCAGUAGUGAGGGUGGUGUGGAGGGAUCAUUACAGAGGGAAGGGUUAGCCUAGUCUAACUCACCUUGUGUGUGCCUGUGACAGAAUAAGCAUGUCCUUUCACAAGCCCUUCAUCUGUGCGGAUCUCACCCCGAUCACUCUGGAGGAGGCCAAGAUUGUGAGCGUCGGGUGGGAGACACAAGCAUCUCUCCCUAGCA